rnacentral:lncRNA from 1 species
UUUGAUAGAGAAGGGACAGGGAACAGAACCUUCGCCCCCCGCCUGAGCAGCUGGUAGACUAGAUAUCUUCCAAACAUUAUCUCAUUUACUUCCCUGGAGUUACAAAUAGGUAGAUUUCAUGUCCGUUGAGGGGUGAGAAAGCUGAAACUUUGAGACUUAAGAAUCCUGGCCGAGGUCAGCCUCCUCCGAAGCUUCAUCUCUUGCCACCACUUUCUGGUGCACACCUAGGACAGAUUUCAAUCCCUGAGAUCCCAGGAUGAAACCUAUGUUUGCCAAAUACCAGCUACUGUGCCAGAAGAGAUCAUGGAACCAGGUGUGGAAAGCUGCUUGAGAAGAGGAGCCAAAACAUCAUAGUUGAACCGUCCUGGAAUAGAAACUCGCCCUGAAUUCUUUCUUGUGUGAAAUCCAAGAGCCCUCUCUUGGGGUUGGAUCGGGACCCUGUUCCUGUAACAAGUCCACAAUGCCAGAGAAUUAAAGAGAACCACAAAGCUGAACCUCAAAAAGUUAGCCUGGCGAGGGGAGGAUGAUGAGAUUUCCCCUGUUGUCACAUAAACAAGGAAGUAAAGGGGGCCCCUUGUGCUCUCAGAACUCCAAGCAUGAAACGAUAGCAAAGGGAAAAACAGCUAAGUGUUUCCUGGCUGAAUUUUAUUUUGCUUUCAGUUUCUGCCAUUUCAGUUCCUGUUAUCGUGCUUUGAGGUGCACUGAACUGCAGCAAACCCAGGGGAUCCAAGGCUACGUUGAAAAGCCUUUGACCACAGUGCAGGGAGCAGAAGACAUUAAUGACGUGAUGUCGACACAGCCCGCACUCAGGAUCCUCCAGGAAAAGAACACAGAGAUAACCCCGGAUCGAUGGUACUUUUUGAAAAUGCUUUAUUGCAAAAGAGUGGCUAGGGUUUUACAAGGGCUAUGAAGAAACAUAUUAAGGUUAAUAAAGCUUUUUAUUGAGUGUUUAAA